rnacentral:rRNA from 1 species
GUUGUAUAGUCAAGUAAUUAAGUGCAUGUGGUGGAUGCCUUGGCAGUCAGAGGCGAUGAAAGACGUGAUAGCCUGCGAAAAGCUCCGGGGAGGCGGCAAAUAUCCUUUGAUCCGGAGAUGUCUGAAUGGGGGAACCCACCUACUUUAAGGUAGGUAUUGCAACAUGAAUACAUAGUGUUGCAAGGCGAACGAGGGGAAGUGAAACAUCUCAGUACCCUUAGGAAAAGAAAUCAAUUGAGAUUCCCUCAGUAGCGGCGAGCGAACGGGGAUCAGCCCAUUAAGUUAUGUGUGUUUUAGUGGAACGCUCUGGGAAGUGCGAACGUAGAGGGUGAUAUUCCCGUACACGAAAGGGCACACAUAAUGAUGACGAGUAGGGCGAGGCACGUGAAACCUUGUCUGAAUAUGGGGGGACCAUCCUCCAAGGCUAAAUACUCCUGACUGACCGAUAGUGAACCAGUACCGUGAGGGAAAGGCGAAAAGAACCCCUGUGAGGGGAGUGAAAUAGAUCCUGAAACCGCAUGCAUACAAGCAGUGGGAGCACCUUCGUGGUGUGACUGCGUACCUUUUGUAUAAUGGGUCAGCGACUUAUAUUCAGUAGCAAGGUUAACCGUAUAGGGGAGCCGUAGAGAAAUCGAGUCUUAAUAGGGCGUUUAGUUGCUGGGUAUAGACCCGAAACCAGGCGAUCUAUCCAUGAGCAGGUUGAAGGUUGGGUAACACUAACUGGAGGACCGAACCCACUGUCGUUGAAAAGCCAGGGGAUGACUUGUGGAUAGGGGUGAAAGGCUAAUCAAGCCUGGUGAUAGCUGGUUCUCCCCGAAAGCUAUUUAGGUAGCGCCUCGGACGAAUACCAUAGGGGGUAGAGCACUGUUUCGGCUAGGGGGUCAUCCCGACUUACCAAACCGAUGCAAACUCCGAAUACCUAUGAGUACUAUCCGGGAGACAGACUGCGGGUGCUAACGUCCGUAGUCAAGAGGAAAACAAUCCAGACCGCCAGCUAAGGCCCCAAAAUCAUAGUUAAGUGGGAAACGAUGUGGGAAGGCAUAGACAGCUAGGAGGUUGGCUUAGAAGCAGCCACCCUUUAAAGAAAGCGUAAUAGCUCACUAGUCGAGUCGGCCUGCGCGGAAGAUGUAACGGGGCUAAAACUAUGUGCCGAAGCUGCGGAUNNNNNNNNNNNNNNNNNNNNNNNNNNNNAUGCUGGAGGUAUCAGAAGUGCGAAUGCUGACGUGAGUAACGACAAAACGGGUGAAAAACCCGUUCGCCGAAAGACCAAGGGUUCCAGUCCAACGUUAAUCGGGGCUGGGUGAGUCGACCCCUAAGGCGAGGCCGAAAGGCGUAGUCGAUGGGAAAAUGGUUAAUAUUCCAUUACUUCUGUGUAAUGCGAUGAGAGGACGGAGAAGGCUAAAUCAGCCUGGCGUUGGUUGUCCAGGUGAAAGGAUGUAGGCAUGUAUCUUAGGCAAAUCCGGGGUACUCUAUGCUGAGAUCUGAUAGCAAGCUGUACUUGUACAGCGAAGUGGUUGAUGCCAUGCUUCCAGGAAAAGUCUCUAAGCUUCAGUUACACAGGAAUCGUACCCGAAACCGACACAGGUGGUCAGGUCGAGUAGACCAAGGCGCUUGAGAGAACUCUGCUGAAGGAACUAGGCAAAAUGGUACCGUAACUUCGGGAGAAGGUACGCUGUUGUUGGUGAUGGAACUCGCUUCCUGAGCUGACGACAGCCGCAGAAACCAGGCCGCUGCAACUGUUUAUUAAAAACAUAGCACUCUGCAAACACGAAAGUGGACGUAUAGGGUGUGAUGCCUGCCCGGUGCUGGAAGGUUAAUUGAUGGGGUUAGCGUAAGCGAAGCUCUUGAUCGAAGCCCCAGUAAACGGCGGCCGUAACUAUAACGGUCCUAAGGUAGCGAAAUUCCUUGUCGGGUAAGUUCCGACCUGCACGAAUGGCAUAAUGAUGGCGGCGCUGUCUCCAGCAGAGGCUCAGUGAAAUCGAAAUCGCUGUGAAGAUGCAGUGUACCCGCGGCUAGACGGAAAGACCCCGUGAACCUUUACUGCAGCUUGACACUGAACUUUGACCUUACUUGUGUAGGAUAGGUGGGAGGCUUUGAAGCUGGAACGCUAGUUCCAGUGGAGCCGUCCUUGAAAUACCACCCUGGUAAUGUUGAGGUUCUAACUCUGUCCCGUGAUCCGGGACGAGGACCGUGUCUGGUGGGUAGUUUGACUGGGGCGGUCUCCUCCUAAAGAGUAACGGAGGAGUACGAAGGUGCGCUCAGCGUGGUCGGAAAUCACGCGUAGAGUAUAAAGGCAAAAGCGCGCUUAACUGCGAGACCCACAAGUCGAGCAGGUACGAAAGUAGGUCUUAGUGAUCCGGUGGUUCUGUAUGGAAGGGCCAUCGCUCAACGGAUAAAAGGUACUCUGGGGAUAACAGGCUGAUACCGCCCAAGAGUUCAUAUCGACGGCGGUGUUUGGCACCUCGAUGUCGGCUCAUCUCAUCCUGGGGCUGAAGCAGGUCCCAAGGGUAUGGCUGUUCGCCAUUUAAAGAGGUACGCGAGCUGGGUUUAGAACGUCGUGAGACAGUUCGGUCCCUAUCUACCGUGGGCGCUGGAAAUUUGAGAGGAUCUGCUCCUAGUACGAGAGGACCAGAGUGGACGAACCUCUGGUGUACCGGUUGUGACGCCAGUCGCAUCGCCGGGUAGCUAUGUUCGGAAGGGAUAACCGCUGAAAGCAUCUAAGCGGGAAGCCUACCUCAAGAUAAGAUUUCCCUAGGACUUUAUGUCCUCUAAAGAGCCGUUCGAGACUAGGACGUUGAUAGGUUGGAUGUGGAAGCAUAGUGAUAUGUGAAGCUGACCAAUACUAAUUGCUCGUGAGGCUUGACUAUACAACACCCAAGCAGUUG